rnacentral:rRNA from 1 species
UACGGAGGGAGCUAGCGUUGUUCGGAAUUACUGGGCGUAAAGCGCGCGUAGGCGGCUUUGUAAGUUAGAGGUGAAAGCCCGGGGCUCAACCCCGGAAUUGCCUUUAAGACUGCAUCGCUUGAAUCCGGGAGAGGUGAGUGGAAUUCCGAGUGUAGAGGUGAAAUUCGUAGAUAUUCGGAAGAACACCAGUGGCGAAGGCGGCUCACUGGACCGGCAUUGACGCUGAGGUGCGAAAGUGUGGGGAGCGAACAGG